GUGGUUGUGAUGAUUAUAAACAAUUCCUCGUACUGAAUGCUAUUGGCAUAAGUCAUGACAGACACUUUACACCCAUAGAAUAUGAGCAAUCC